rnacentral:rRNA from 1 species
UACGUAGGGGGCGAGCGUUGUCCGGAUUUAUUGGGCGUAAAGAGCUCGUAGGCGGUUCGAUAAGUCGGACGUGAAAUCUCCACGCUCAACGUGGAGGGGCCGUUCGAUACUGUCGUGACUCGAGUCCGGUAGGGGAGUGUGGAAUUCCCGGUGUAGCGGUGAAAUGCGCAGAGAUCCGGAGGAACACCAGUGGCGAAGGCGACACGCUGGGCCGUACCUGACGCUAAAGCGCGACAGCAUGGGGAGCAAACGGG